rnacentral:rRNA from 1 species
CUUAAAGGAAUUGGCGGGAGGGCACCACCAGGAGUGGAGCCUGCGGCUUAAUUUGACUCAACACGGGGAAACUCACCAGGUCCAGACGUAAUAAGGAUUGACAAGUUAGAGACUUCUCUUGAUCUUACGGGUGGUGGUGCAUGGCCGUUUUUAGUCCUUGGAGUGAUUUGUCUGCUUAAUUGCGAUAACGGACGAGACCUUAACCUGCUAAAUAGGGCUGCGAGCAUCUGCUCGGGUGCUCUUCUUAGAGGGACUAUGGGUAUCAAACCCAUGGAAGUUUGAGGCAACAACAGGUCUGUGAUGCCCUUAGACGUUCUGGGCCGCACGCGCGCUACACUGACGGAGCCAGCAAGUCCAACCUUGGUCGAGAGGCCCGGGUAAUCUCGUGAAACUCCGUCGUGCUGGGGAUAGAGCAUUGUAAUUUUUGCUCUUCAACGAGGAAUUCCUAGUAAGCGCAAGUCAUCAGCUUGCGUUGAUUACGUCCCUGCCCCUUGGCACACACCGCCCG